AUGACUUUGAUCCCCAUCUUCAUCUGCACACUGGUCCUAUGGACUCAAGGAUCCAGAGGUCAGGUAACAGUGACUCAGGAUUCAGUGAAAUCUGCUCUUCCAGGAGACACAGUCACCAUCAACUGUAGAACAAACCCUGCGGUGUAUAAUAAUAACUAUCUCGCCUGGUACCUGCAGAAACCUGGAGAAGCUCCUAAACUCCUGAUCUACUAUGCUACUAGCUUACAGUCAGGAAUUCCAGCUCGUUUCAGUGGUAGUGGAUCUGGAUCUGACUUCACUCUGACCAUCAGAGGAGUCCAGACUGAAGAUGCAGGAGAUUAUUACUGUCAGAGUAGACACAACAUUGGUGGUAACUGGCCGUUCACACAGUGUUACAGAGUCAUACAAAAACCUCCCUCAGUCAGACUGCACAGAGACUGCACUGCUGCAGCUGAAACCUACUGCAGGUUGAAGCUCCCAGUCGUUCAACUCGCUCAAGGACUCCUGUGA